rnacentral:lncRNA from 1 species
CUCACAAUUUAGUAAAAAAUAAUUUGUCAAUAUCUUUCACGGUUGUUGAAAAUAAGAGAAAAUAAGCCAAAAUCAAAUUUAGAAUAUGACCUUGACCUUUGACCUUGACCUUAUUUUCAUUUUUUUGGACCAAGGAACUUAAAUCCAAAGACCCUAGGCCUAUAUCACUGAUGGUUUACCAGUUAGAAACGCAUAUCACUUAUAUCAAAUGCAUAAGGGGAAAUAACUCUCAUAUGGAGUCUCCGGAUAACUUCGGUCCAAAUGAAUAUCCUAAUCCUGAAGAAGUAACGAGCAAUUUGGUAAAAUAAAUUUGUCGUAAUCUUUUACGGUUGCGAAGGAGUAGUGGCCACAAGAAAACAGUGUUUGGGGAGAUAACUCUUACAACGUAAAGUAUUUUGUUACGCAGUUGUAAAUUUUUAAAGCGUAUAAACUAUACGACAUCAUAUUCCAAAUAUCUAAGCGACAUCUUUUGAAACAUCAAUACUACGCAAGAAAAAAUUUAGGCGGAAGAAAAAAAAAAAAAAAAAUAAUAAUAAUCAGAACAAAUUCAAUAGGUCUUUCCACGGAAAGGUGGAAAGACCUAAUAAUAAUAAUAAAAAACCAAUUGUUCAGAGAACAAUUGAAGGUCUUUCCACUAGUAAAGAUCUAUUUUGAUAUUGAAAUAUAAAAAAUCAGUUUAAAAUGUUAGUUCCUAUGGCUUUAUGAUGUAUUUAUAUGAAUUUAAAGCAAAGGUCAAAAUCUAGAACGUCCUUUUAACCUAUGACCUUGACCUCAAUUUCAAGGUCACAAAC